ensembl:lncRNA
AAAAUACUAAUAAAUGUUAGUAAUGCUACUUGCUACCACACGCAAACUCUGCUUGUACAUUUAAAGUGGAUAAGUCAAAGUCCCAGUUGUUAAAGGACGCACCAAAGAUGCUGACUCUGUGGUAAAAAUAUACCUGAAGGUGUGAGUAUGAGGUGGUUAGGUUCUUGAUGAAACUUUUCAGGAAAGGUAACUUCUUAGUAAUCGAUAGAGUUCAACUAGUGGAACAUGUAAUAAUCGUCUCGCCUUAUUUGGUGCUUUCCCCCUGUGACGUAGUCAUGGGUGAGUUGUAUAAGUACCAACAGUAGUAAGAUUAUCUAGGGAAUUUACCUUAUUCUACUCAAGCUGACACUGCUAGCUCCGGAGCUCUUUGAAAGACAUGAAGAACUUUGGUAUCGAGUGUCUUACACUGUUGAUGGUAGCUGUGAUGGUCUAUGCAGCACCAACCAACCCGUGUGAAGACAAAAGGCUGAAGCUGAAGCAAAUUAGAGAAAAUGCCAACAGGGCAAAAGAUAAUCUGCCUGACUUAACUGUGCCUAAGAUAGACAAAUGUGUGGAAAAAUUCUUCUGCUUAGCCGACAAGGCGCUGACCAAAACUAUGGAAAAUUAUUCAAAUCAGAAUCUAACAAAACUCGAGCAUUCCCUGCAUGUGUACAGCAAGGAUGAAAACUGUCAUCUGCACACGCAAAGCCAAUUUAAUAUAAAAAAGUUUCUGGAUGAAAUUGUGCGUUGUGUUGACGUCGCCUUGAACAACAAGAGCAUCAUAUGUCCCCAUCAUAUUAAAUGAAGAAUUGUCCUCAAGUUUAUUGCAACUGUAAAUAUAUUUAUGGACUUAUUUAAUGACAUAUUUAUUACUUUUUUCACAUUUUCUAUUUAUAUACAAAUAAAUUAAAACAAAAAAGG